GAUGAACGCUGGCGGCGUGCCUAAUACAUGCAAGUCGAGCGAACAGACUAGGCGCUUGCUUCUCUGACGUUAGCGUCUGACUUGUGAGUAACACGUUGAUAACCUACCUAUAAGACUGGGAUAACUUCGUGAAACCUGAGCUAAUACCCUAUAACAUCUUGAACCUCAUGGUUCAACAGUGAAAGAUGGUCUUGCUCUCACUUAUCGAUAGAUCCGCGCCGAAUUAGCUAGUUGGUAAGGUAACGGCUUACCAAGGCAACGAUGCGUAGCCGACCUGAGAGGGUGAUGGGCAACACUGGAACUGAGAAACGGUCAAGACUCCUACGGGAGGCAGCAGUGGGGAAUCUUCGGAAAUGGGCGAAGGCCUGACGGGGAAACGCCGCGUGAGGGAUGAAGGUCUUCGGAUCGAAAAACUCUGUUAAUAGGGAAGAACAAAUGUGUAAGUAACAAUGCACGUCUUGACGGUACCUAAUCAGAAAGCCACGGCUAACUACGUG
rnacentral:rRNA from 1 species